UACAUCUGCCUUCAAUAUACCAGAAGCAUAACUAAACGCGGUGGCAAUCUUGUAAUUAUGGUGACAAUUAUCUAAAAUAUAUAUAUAUCUGGCCAUAUUUAGCCACAGAUGUAACAAGUCAAGUUGAAUAAAAAAAAAUAAUAAUAUUUUUUGGAACCAAUCAGCUGGAGUUAAUUAUCUCUCUCACAAGACUAAAACAAGAACAAAAAAAACGUUAAGACUAAAAAAACACAAUCAGAUCAAUACCAAAAGAACCAAAACGCUAAGAACCCAUCUCUCUCGCGAUGCAACCCUAAGCCGCCGUCGACCUCCACCUCUACCGGCGACAAGAUUGAACCACUGCCUUAUCUCAUUCGUCUUCUCUCUCUCACUCGCUCGCAGUCGUCCUAAGCGCCGUCGUCCUCUCUCUCACUCGUCAAAUCGAACCCUAACCCCAAAUCGAACUCCAAAUCGAAGCUUUCUCCGGCCUCUACUCUCACGAACGGAACCUUGUCUUUCCCUCUCACAUCGAUUCAGGUACUCUUCUUUCUUUUUUAAUCGUUUUUAAAUUUUUUCCUUUUCGUGAUUCCUUUCCCUGAUUUCUUUGUGUUCUACUUGGUUUUAGCUCUUUGUGUUUCGUGAUUUCCUUUUCUGCUUGUAUUAUUUUUUGUUACUGUUAUUUUCACAUUUUUUAAAUUUCAUUUAAAGUUUCAAUGAUUUUUUGUCUGGUAUAUAUGGUGGAAAUCUGUUGUUGUUUAUAAUUUAUCUGGUAUAAUGUUUAUUUCAUUUGAAGUUUCAGUGAUUUUAAUUUGAAAUAUGAUUCAUUUGAAAUAUGAUUUCAUUUGAAAUAAGUUUCAGUGAUUUAUCUGAUUUUAAUUUGAAGUUUUUUGUCUGGUAUAUAGUGGUAAAGUUUAAGUGAUUAAUUUGAAAUAUGAUUCAUUUAAAGUUUCAGUGAAUUCAUAAUGUUGGUAUAUAGUGAUUUAUUUCAUUUAAAGUUUAGUGGUAAAGUUUAAGUGAUUCAUUUAAGUGAUUGGUUUCCCAUAUCUUGGUUAGGGAAAGGCAUCCAAAGCUGCACAUCAUCUACUGGUGUAUUUUUGGCUAGUUUUUGUAGGUAUCAUAACAGGAUUUGGAAGACACUUACCCGUCACCAUUUCGUUGUCGUGUUCAACAAGGGAAAGUGAGCUGCUUGUGCUAGUGAGGAUCUUUUGGUACUGGUUAGUAACAAGUGGGGAUUUGAAGGAUAACUGGAUAAGGAUCUUAUAGAAGUGAUUUUUUGUUGAUUUUUAGGUUUUGACUUUUGAGUAUAGGUACAUUACCUCAGACAAACCUUUUUUAGAUAUGUUCUAUAUGUGUGUAAAAUCAGAACACCCUUUUUUAUGCAUAAGAAAAACCUCCACACAUUAGUUUCAUCAACAUGUUUGAUUCUUUGAAUGAUUUUGUUCAUGGAAACAUGUCUUUGCUUUUGGUUCUCUGAGGAUUUUCUUCACCAAUUAUGUGUUUUAUUUGUAUAAUCUAUUUUGUUCAUGGAAACGUGUCUUUGGCUUUUGGUUCACUGUGGAUUUUCAUCACCAAUUAUGUGUUCUAUAUCUGUAUAAUCUAUUUGUUCAUGGAAACUUCUUUUGAAGCUUCUUUUGUUGCUCACUACUACAAUUUUAAUCCAUAUUAGCUUCUUUUGUUUCUUUGUACCUCUUCACUCCACCAUUGUUGUGCUCUUGCAAUUGAACCCUAAUCCCUGAAAUCGUUCCUCUUGUAAUUGAGCCUGAAACUCAAGCAACGGCCAAUCUCUCAACUGCGGAGACAUUCCUUCUCGAUGUAUGGGUUCUUUUUUCAGCAACAGAGAGGCGUUUUUCUUCAGCGGUGGACUCGUUCUUCUUCAGGUGAAAACAAUACCUUAGAUUGAGGUUGUGACAUUUGAUCCAAAAGCAGAGAGAAUGAAACCUGCAGUUGUGGUUAAGGGGACCAGAGUGUUCUGAAUAUGGGCGGGUAAAGGAUGUCUUUCUUGACAAGUAAGUUUAUAGAACUCAUACAUGCUACUCUGUUGCUUGUUAUUUUAUUUUUAUUUUCAUCUCUCGCAUAGUUUCAUUAUGUUAAUUGAUUCCUGUAUUAUAAUGAUAAGUUUCUGAUUUUAUGUGUUUGAGGAUUGCACUUGAGGAGGUUUUUCACAUAGAUUGAUUUGAGAUGUUUACAUGGGAUGGUUUGUGGUAGUAGGCUCAGUGUGGGGAUGGUGUCGAUUUAUGCCUCCAAUAGCUUAUGUAGUCCACUCUGCUAUUUUUCUUGUUUUUCUGCGUUUUUUCUUGUCUUUGGCUGUGUGAUUUGGUUCUCUGCUUUCCUGACUCGUUGAUUUGGUUCCCUUCAUUUUUGGUUUUCGUGGCUGCAUCUACUGUGUUGAGGUUAGGGUCACCUGAUGCAUACCCAAGCCGUUCUUGGUGUGUUCUUGCCUUAAUCAUUGAAAUUUUAAUUACUUUUGUGGAUUUUAGAUCAUAAGUGGAUUAGUCUAUAGCUUGGAGACAUAAGUUCUUAUUUGCAUCAAGUUUAUGUGUGAUUGCAGGGUUUGCUCACUAAUGUUUACUGAUGUGUCUGAGUAUCUAGUAAUGUGUUGCUACAGGUUCUCCACUUCUCUUUCUCUUAUGUAAUGCACAAAGAUAAAUGAUUCCAAAGAGCACAACCAUAAAGGGGUAUAUGUGUUGAAGAGGUUUCUAUGCGGGAAGAUUAGACGAAAGAUUUUGUAUCCAUCUUUCUUGACUCCCGUAAACACCAUUGGAGGUUUCUACAAAUUUUCUAUGAUGAUUUUUUUUAGGUGUAUUUUGGUAGUUAAGAUAGAAAUGGGCUUAAUGCAGAAGAGCUUAUUAGAGCAUAACAUGCAGAAGGACUUAAUGCAGAAGAGCUUAAAUGAUAUUUUGGUAUGAAUAAUACUACUUUAGAGUUAGACUGCUGUUUUACAUCAGAAUAAUGCUAUGGCUAAGGAACAAAUUAAUAGCAUAACAAAAGAAAAUAAUAGUUUACUAUUUCACACCAGUAAAUAAUUCAUUGUGGAACAAAUACAAAAAACAAUUUCCAAUAAGUAGAUGGAAUAAUAUGCUCAAGUAACAGCUAAGAUUAGAUAAACAAUAAAAUCAAACUAGUCUCCCUCAUCAUCUACUGGUGUAUUUUUGGCUCCAGCAGCUGGUUCACAAUUUUUGUGCUAUGCUGGUUCACAAUUUUUGUGCUAUAUGCUGGUUCACUAAAAAUGGCUAUGCUGAUUC